UUUUCCUCCACUUGAUUUUCUAUUUCUUUUCUAUAUUGUUAUGUUUUCUAUCCUAACUAGAUGUGAAAGCUUCAGGUCAGAGGCUGGACCCUUUCCCCUUCUGGCAUCUAUUCUUACACUGUGUGGAAAGAAGAUUCUCAGUGGCUGAGACAAAAUGAGUUCCAAGGCAUCUUCCCUUUCCCUACAGCAACAUAGAGAGAGCUUUGUGUUCUUCAAGGAGAACUCUCAAACAUGUUUCAUCUUUUCGAGGACUGACCCAUACCCAACUCAGUGACAAGGUCUCUCAUGGAACCGAGCGCUUGCUGAUUCAACUUGUCUGGCUGGUGGGCAACCCUCCAGCGAUCCACCUGCCUGUGUCUGCUUCCCAAUGCAGGAAUUACAGAUGUGUACCACAUGCCCAACUUCAUGCAGGUGCUGGGGAUCUGCUUCUGUAGUGAGUGCUUUAUCCGCUAAACCAUCUCCCAUCCCAUUUUAUGUAAUUCUAAUGGACUUUAAAUAGUUUCACACUGCCCAUGGCUGUCAUAUUUGAAAGUGCAGAUUUCAUGAGUAACCAUAAGAACCAAGUCAUUUUACAAGAUUACCAGGACCAUUUGGACUUAGGCACUGGAAAAGUCAGAGCAAUCUGUCAGUCAGUCAGAUGCUGACAUGAUACUAAAGUGUUUGCAAUAAUCACUGAAACAAUGGGUAUUAUCCCUGAGAAAUCUGAGAGAGGUUUAUAUCAAUGGAUAUACAUAUUCAUACCUAAAGGAAAUGUCCUAGAAAAAAAUUGAUUUUAGCUGGAAGCUAUAUUGUUCACCUUGCAUUCAUUCUCUUGUGAAUCAGAUGUUAACUGCCAGACAUUUGUCAACACAGCACUUGUUCCUGCUGAGCCCCUGGGCUUACCAUGCCCUGAGGUACCACACUGGACUCAAGUAUAACUGUGGAUGAGAACGAGCGUGUGAGAUUAUAAAAUAGAGUUUAUGCUAGAUUUAGACACAGGCUCUUAAGAGAACACUUGGGUAGUCUAAGGAAACAUAAAACAGCCUAUAAAAUGGUAGAUAUAUUUAGAGGGGAUUUUUUUAGGGAGAAACUGUUUAGAGAGAGAGAGAGAUCCUGUUUUUUUAAAUGUAAUUAAAAUAUCACAGUUUUCUGCUGUGACCCCUCCAGAUGCCACAGCCACCUUCUUCAACCUGCUCUCUAUCCUAGAAGGCUGUUGACUGCAUUACUGGGCUUCCUCGGAUCUUCAUUUCUCUAGCCGAGUUGGAAGCAUCUAUAACAGAUCUGGGAAGCAUAUUCGAGUGAAAUUGGGGCCUUUGUCCCCCUAGCUUCCCUCUCAUGGGGCAACUCGACUGCUCAGGUAUCGGUGCUGAGUCAGUGCCUGUCUUUUCCCAGCUGUCUCUCUCUUCUUGGAUGUUGAUCCCUCCCCUCGAAUCUUUGUCCUACUAAGGCUGAGAGGCACGCGGCUGCUGCUUGUUCCGAAGGCUGCAUGAUUUUCUUGUGGUUUUUCCCCACCCUGACCACUUCUCUGAAAAGAGCCCUUUAUUAUAAACUCCACUUGAAUUUCACAACUGGAGUUUGCCAUUGGUUCCUGCUGGGGCUCUCUCUGCUCUAUCUAUGAAAUCGUAUCUGGAUGCUUCUCACCAAGCUGUUUCUUCCUUGAGACAGUUGCUAUAGAGAUAAUUUAGGACGGGGUGUUUUAAAGCAGUUGUUUAAUCUAACUGCCUUACCAGACACCAGAUCAGACCCCUCCAGCAUGACUCAUCCUAUUUGUGUGGGUGGGGUUAGUAAACUCCCUGAAGUGUAAGAAAGAUUGUCUUGAUAGUGGUGACAGAGAAUUUUCUCAAAAGUCCAACUGUAUA